GAUAUGGCUAGGACAUCUGUCACUCCAUUGACCGCCAUGGUUGAUUGAGUUGAUCUGGCCGGCUAGGCAGGUGUCCCCUUCCU
rnacentral:sRNA from 14 species